GUGCAAGGAUCAAAUACAAAUGAGCCUUAAUAUACAAAACGGCUUUAACAUGAGAAGUGAAUGAAGUUUUAUUUCAUUAUUUUUUAUCAUCUGCUUAAAUAUGAUGUUUAAUUACAAAAUUAAAAAAAAUAUACACUAUUAGAGUAAUUAUAUGCCCAUGGCUUUAUAGCCUAGUGGCAUCUUGGGGGUGGGAUAAAGCUUUGGGACCAAUAGGUCCUGGGUUCGAUUUCCACAAGAGGGUUUUCCCAUAUUUAUUGGGUUUCCUCCUGAAUUGGUGUAUAGGCAUUAUGCCUAGUGGAGAUGGAUAUGAUCGGGUGGUUUCGCUGGUGGCACGAUGAUACUCCAGUGUUCAACGGGUGGUACUGAUGUUUGGUGCGACGGGAAAGGUGAGGUACGAGUGCUGAGAUUGAUGGGGUGGUUGUGGCUGCGAUGGUUGUGGUGUUAG
rnacentral:lncRNA from 1 species